rnacentral:rRNA from 1 species
UACGGAGGGUGCAAGCGUUGUCCGGAAUCACUGGGCGUAAAGGGCGCGUAGGCGGCUCAUGAAGGCUGUGGUGAAAGUCCGGGGCUCAACCUCGGAUCGGCCGUGGCGACUCGUGGGCUGGAGCACUGUAGAGGCGGGUGGAAUUCCGGGUGUAGCGGUGGAAUGCGUAGAGAUCCGCAGGAACACCCAGGGGGAAACCAGCCGCCUGGGCAUGCGCUGACGCUGAGGUGCGAGAGCGUGGGGAGCGAACCGG